rnacentral:rRNA from 1 species
ACAUGCAGUCGAGCGGACAGAUGGGAGCUUGCUCCCUGAUGUUAGCGGCGGACGGGUGAGUAACACGUGGGUAACCUGCCUGUAAGACUGGGAUAACUCCGGGAAACCGGGGCUAAUACCGGAUGGUUGUUUGAACCGCAUGGUUCAAACAUAAAAGGUGGCUUCGGCUACCACUUACAGAUGGACCCGCGGCGCAUUAGCUAGUUGGUGAGGUAACGGCUCACCAAGGCGACGAUGCGUAGCCGACCUGAGAGGGUGAUCGGCCACACUGGGACUGAGACACGGCCCAGACUCCUACGGGAGGCAGCAGUAGGGAAUCUUCCGCAAUGGACGAAAGUCUGACGGAGCAACGCCGCGUGAGUGAUGAAGGUUUUCGGAUCGUAAAGCUCUGUUGUUAGGGAAGAACAAGUACCGUUCGAAUAGGGCGGUACCUUGACGGUACCUAACCAGAAAGCCACGGCUAACUACGUGCCAGCAGCCGCGGUAAUACGUAGGUGGCAAGCGUUGUCCGGAAUUAUUGGGCGUAAAGGGCUCGCAGGCGGUUUCUUAAGUCUGAUGUGAAAGCCCCCGGCUCAACCGGGGAGGGUCAUUGGAAACUGGGGAACUUGAGUGCAGAAGAGGAGAGUGGAAUUCCACGUGUAGCGGUGAAAUGCGUAGAGAUGUGGAGGAACACCAGUGGCGAAGGCGACUCUCUGGUCUGUAACUGACGCUGAGGAGCGAAAGCGUGGGGAGCGAACAGGAUUAGAUACCCUGGUAGUCCACGCCGUAAACGAUGAGUGCUAAGUGUUAGGGGGUUUCCGCCCCUUAGUGCUGCAGCUAACGCAUUAAGCACUCCGCCUGGGGAGUACGGCCGCAAGACUGAAACUCAAAAGGAAUUGACGGGGGCCCGCACAAGCGGUGGAGCAUGUGGUUUAAUUCGGAAGCAACCGCGAAGAACCUUACCAGGUCUUGACAUCCUCUGACAAUCCGUAGAGAUAGGACGUCCCCUUCGGGGGCAGAGUGACAGGUGGUGCAAUGGUUUUCGUCAGCUCGUGUCGUGAGAUGUUGGGUUAAGUCCCGCAACGAGCGCACCCCUUGAUCUUAGUUGCCAGCAUUCAGUGGGGCACUAUAAGGUGACUGCCGGUGACAAGCCGGAGGAAGGUGGGGAUGACGUCAAAUCAUCAUGCCCCUUAUGACCUGGGCUACACACGUGCUACAAUGGACAGAACAAAGGGCAGCGAAACCGCGAGGUUAAGCCAAUCCCACAAAUCUGUUCUCAGUUCGGAUCGCAGUCUGCAACUCGACUGCGUGAAGCUGGAAUCGCUAGUAAUCGCGGAUCAGCAUGCCGCGGUGAAUACGUUCCCGGGCCUUGUACACACCGCCCGUCACACCACGAGAGUUUGUAACACCCGAAGUCGGUGAGGUAACCUUUAGGAGCCAGCCGC